UUCAGAAAUACUACAGGUGGCUCAAAUUAUGAUACUUCAAGGAGAAGGAGAGAUAAGAGAAAGCUAAUGAAAUAUUUAAUGUAUAGAGAUCUGAGGCAUGAUUGCAGUGUGGAGGAAAUCCUUCCUCCAGGAAAUCCAGGGAGUCAGAAGGCUUGAGUUCUACAUCCAGCUCUGUUAUUGUCUCAAGGGAAAAUUCUGAAGAAUGAGCUGCAUCUUUAUAAAGUUCUGUCUUGUUUGUAAAACAGGAAUGCUGUGAAAGAUUGUCUUAUGGUCACUAAUGGCUUCAAUAUUUCAUAGUCCCUAUUAUAUUAGUUUUUUGCUUUGAAAAAGGAUGGGUAAGAGAUAUAUAUGAUAAAAGUUUAUAUAAUUGUGUUUUAAGUAAUUUUUAAUUAAAUUAUAGCUAUUUUUUAAUUAUAGCUAUUUUAAACUUUGAAAAUAGUCUAGAACUUUGGAAAAGAGCAGAUUUUAUACAUAUGAAAGAUGACACUGUUUUAUUUAAGAAAAGAUGAAAUUAUAAAUUAUGUGCUUUAUGUAUCGAAUAACUAUUUUCCAAAUAACAAUUCAUUUCUUGUUUUUUAUUUUUUUUAACAUUUCAUUUCUUAUGUUAGGCUUUAAAAUAAGAAGAUCCUUUACAUGGUUAGAUAAAAUCAUGUAUAAGGGAAUCAUUACACAGUGUGUGAGGUACUCAGUUCUUUAGAAAUAUUAACUCCAUUAAUUAUCAAGAUACUUUUAGAAGAUAAAUGCUGUUUUCACAACUAUUUCAUAGAUAAGAAAAUGAGACAGAGAAAUUAACUAACUUUCCUAAGGUUACGUAAUCAGUGGAUGGGUCAAGAUUUUCAUCCAGUAUAUUUGACACUAGGGUCUCUGCAUCUAAAUGUUACAUUAUAUCUGAGAUGGAUAAAGGAAGGCCUGUAUUCUUGAGAAUUUUAACAAAAAAAAAAAAAAAACCAUUCCUGGAUUCCUAUGAUAAAUUAUUUUCCAUCAUCAUGAGGAAAAGAAUGAAAACAUUCAAAUCCCAUAAAAGGAAUUGUGAAGAAAUGAAAAAUAAAAAAAGAGAUUUCACAGAUCAAAGACUUUUGAUGCACUAAGCAGAAUUGAUUGACUAAAUGAGCACACAAUAUGUUUGUUGAAUGGAUUCAUACUAGGACAGGUUUUAAAUGGAUCUCUUUAUAACAGGUCUGGUUUUCCCUAGUAAUAUUUAAGUGAAUUGCUUAGAAUGGUUUAGAAGAUGUGAUCUUCCUAAAGAGUAGGAGGGUAAAGGGAGAAAUGUUUGUUGGAUAUGUUGUAGAGCUAUCUACCAGCCUUGUAUAAAACUGGGCAAUUAUAUGUGUAUAAUAACUCUGUUGUGAAUCUUAGACUUCAAACAACGAAUUUGGUUACCAAAAAUUAAAUUCACUUGUCUCAAACAAAAACUUUUAUUCUGCCAAAUUGAAACAUGUGUCAAGAUUUCUUUCUCCUGAAUUACGUUUCUGCCACAAAGCAAACCUAAUCUACGUUUUAAAUUUGGUUUCAUUUUUAUUUGAUUUACUAUGAGGAAUAUAAAAGUCUAAAAAUAUUGAGUAUCAAUAUUUGAAUAAAAUCAGACAUUACAAAACAACAUAAGUAUGUUAAAUCUUAAAGUGCUUUUUUAUUGUGUAUGAAUAUAUUUAUGAAGUAUAGUAAUAUAUCAUGCGUUUAAAAUUCCAUUUUUUGAGAAAUGGAAGUUCAUCUGUAAUAUACAUGACUGGGAUAUUUGGUUAUCCGUCACAGGGGUUUUCCUAAUAUUUUAGGUACAGGAGAGUUUCUCUCUUGUCACUAUUUAUGGAAUGAUUGACCUUAAAACACAGUCUAGCCUUCAUCCAUUGCUCAUGAUAGCUAGCUAGCCAUUAGCUAAAUAUGUUACGUACAUUGUAUUGUGCAUCAUCCCCACAGGAAGGUUUGGUUUCAUCUCUAUUUUUACAGUUGAGUAAAUUCAGACUUGCAGAGUUAAGUAAUUAACUCUAAAUAAACCUAAGGCAAAAAAAAAAAAA
rnacentral:lncRNA from 1 species